rnacentral:rRNA from 1 species
UACGAAGGGGGCGAGCGUUGUUCGGAUUUACUGGGCGUAAAGGGCGCGCAGGCGGCUCAUUUUGUCAGGCGUGAAAGCCCCGGGCUUAACCUGGGAACUGCGUUUGAUACGGGUGGGCUAGAGUUCGGGAGAGGAGAGUGGAAUUCCCAGUGUAGAGGUGAAAUGCGUAGAGAUGCGGAGGAACACCGAUGGCGAAGGCAGCCCCCUGGGCCGACACUGACGCUCAGGCACGAAAGCGUGGGGAGCAAACAGG